rnacentral:rRNA from 1 species
AAUAGAUACCCGGGUAGUCCACGCCGUAAACGAUGAGUGCUAAGUGUUAGAGGGUUUCCGCCCUUUAGUGCUGCAGCUAACGCAUUAAGCACUCCGCCUGGGGAGUACGGCCGCAAGGCUGAAACUCAAAGGAAUUGACGGGGGCCCGCACAAGCGGUGGAGCAUGUGGUUUAAUUCGAAGCAACGCGAAGAACCUUACCAGGUCUUGACAUCCUCUGCCAACCCUAGAGAUAGGGCGUUCCCCUUCGGGGGACAGAGUGACAGGUGGUGCAUGGUUGUCGUCAGCUCGUGUCGUGAGAUGUUGGGUUAAGUCCCGCAACGAGCGCAACCCUUGAUCUUAGUUGCCAGCAUUCAGUUGGGCACUCUAAGGUGACUGCCGGUGACAAACCGGAGGAAGGUGGGGAUGACGUCAAAUCAUCAUGCCCCUUAUGACCUGGGCUACACACGUGCUACAAUGGAUGGUACAAAGGGCUGCGAACCCGCGAGGGUAAGCGAAUCUCAUAAAGCCAUUCUCAGUUCGGA